GACGAACGCUGGCGGCGUGCUUAAUACAUGCAAGUCUUAGGGGCUUUUUACCUUCGGGUAAAAGUCACUGGCGCACGGGUGAGUAACACGUAAGUUAUCUGCCCCCGGGUCUGGCAUAACUCCGGGAAACCGGAGCUAAUUCCAGAUGAUAUCGUAAGAUCAAAGAUUUUUCGCCCGGGGAUGAGCUUGCGUCUGAUUAGCUAGUUGGCGGGGUAAUGGCCCACCAAGGCGACGAUCAGUAGCCGGUCUGAGAGGAUGAUCGGCCACAUUGGGACUGAGACACGGCCCAGACUCCGUACGGGAGGCAGCAGUAAGGAAUAUUGCGCAAUGGACGAAAGUCUGACGCAGCAACGCCGCGUGC
rnacentral:rRNA from 1 species